GAGCAUUAGUUUAAGCGAACUAGGAAUUUGUAGGAUUUCUAGACUUAAACUUAGAAUGCUAAGUGAAGUUUUGAGAUGUGUGUCUGUUGUGAUUUAGACACGAGCACUAGUUUAUUUUAGGAAAGUUGCCUAAAAUGCUUUAUGUGCUAAAUGUUAUAUGUUGCCAUAUAUGAUAUUAUUUGUUCGGAUCUAUGGUCUGUUGCCGACCGGAUCUAGAAACCUUAUGUGUGUAGGAUUCUAAGCGUACGUCUACGAUAUUAGAACUAGCAUGUAAACGUUUCGGAGUGAUAAGGAUGAUUUGAAUAUCUAUCAUGAUUGAGGAUCUAAUUUCACCUUAUUCGGUGUAGAUCAAAAUGGUGAGAACAAGAAGUGGAGUUGGAAAUGCUGACGAAAACAGGAAUCAACCACCAGUGAUUGAGCCAAUACCUGUCGUAGCAGCAGCACCUGAGCCAAUAACCAUGGCUGGUGUGCAAUUGAUGAUUCAGACGAUGUUGGAUCGUCAGAUGGAUGAAACUAGACGGUUGCUUCAACAAAAUCGUGAAGAACUGUCGAUUCGUGUGGAAGAGCCUGAACUGAAUGAAGGGCACUCGGAAGGUGGAAACUUCAGUGGGUCUGUUGGUCCAGCCAACCCACCGAUAGUUAGGCAAGAUAACCAUGAUGGAAGGAAUGAUGGAAUGGGAUGCAAGUACAAGGACUUUUUGACUUGUAAACCAUCGACCUUCAAUGGAAAGGAGGAUCCGAUUGGGGUUAUGGAUUGGAUCUCCGAAAUGGAGUUAGCCUUUAUGACAUGUGGCUGUAGAGGCAAGUUGCAGACUAUCUAUGCCGUGCGACAAUUCCGAGGUGGAGCCGUUCGUUGGUGGAACACUCUAGGGAAGACCUUAAGCCCUAAUGAGCCACUGCAAUUGUCAUGGGCAGAGUUCUUGGUGCAGUUCAAGCGCAAGUUCUGCUCGGCUCAAAAUCUGUUGGAGUUGGAGAACAAGUUUUUGACAUUGACGAAGGGUAGCAUGUCAGUGGAUGAGUACACCAAUAACUUCACCGAUAAGAUGGAGUUUGCCUUGCGUAUCGUUCCAGACGAGCUGACAAAGGUGGAUCGGUAUGCGAAGGGACUUCCAUGGGAGUACGAGGUGCCGGUACGUCAGGCACUUACUCUAGAGGCAGCUAUCUGGGCUGCCAAGUCUGUGGAGAACAUGAUCAAGGGGAGAACCACCGUCAAGGUUGAGGUUGGUGAGAAAAGGAAGUUUGAAGGAACAUCUGGUUCCAGUAAGAAGAGCAAAUUUUCGAAAUCUGAUUCGAAAAAGUUUGGAGGAAAAGGAGGCGAAGCAAAGUGGUGUGAUAAGUGUAAGAAAAAGCACUUUGGGAAAUGUAGCGAGGAUGUGACCUGCUACAAGUGUGGAAAGGUUGGACAUUUUGCCAAUGAAUGUCCGAACAACAAAAGGAUGUGUUUUGGGUGUAAUGAAGAGGGGCAUAUUUUGAAAGACUGUCCGAAGAAGAAGGAGGCAGCUAGGCCCAACAUUCCACCAAAGCCGAAGGCGAGAGCCUUCCAGAUGACACUUGAGGCUGCGAAAGAUGAAGCUGAUGUCGCUUCAGGUACCUUUCUCGUAAACGAAUUACCUGCUCAUAUAUUGUUUGAUUCUGGAGCCAACUACUCCUUUAUUUCGCAUGAGUUUGGUAGAAAGCUAGCUUUGCCUGUUGAUAGACUAGAUAAUGCUUUAUUAGUCGAAGUAGCUAGUGGCAAGUUUGUACCUGUUAGCCAUCGUAUGAAAAACGUCUUGAUCGACCUUAAUGGGAAUAAGUUUCUCGAGGAAUUAUUGCCUAUCGAACUAAAUGGUUUCGACAUCGUCUUGGGAAUGGAUUGGCUUAGCGCCAAUGAUGCCGAAAUUUUGUGCAAGAAGAAGAUAGUUAAAGUAAACCCGCCUGGGAAAGAUUCGUUUAUGGUGUAUGGGGACAAACGCAGAGUGAAUUCUGGAAUCAUUUCUCUAAUGAAAGCCAGAAAGUGUUUGACCAAGGGAUGUACAUCAUAUUUAGCAUUCGUGAUUGAUGCUAAGAAAGAAAAGAAGGUGAUGCAGAGCAUUCCAGUGGUGUGUGAUUAUCCGGAAGUAUUUCCCGAGGAUCUUCCUGGAUUACCACCUGAUAGACAAGUGGAGUUCAGAAUAGACUUGUUACCAGGAACCACGCCAAUAGCAAAAGCACCUUAUCGAUUAGCACCGACGGAGAUGAAGGAGCUGAUGAUGCAACUUCAGGAGUUAUUGGACAAAGGUUUCAUUAGACCUAGUUCAUCGCCCUGGGGAGCUCCGGUGUUAUUUGUAAAGAAGAAAGAUGGAAGUAUGAGAAUGUGCAUCGAUUACAGAGAGCUGAACAAGGCAACAAUAAAGAAUAGAUAUCCGUUGCCGAGGAUUGAUGACCUGUUUGAUCAAUUGCAAGGUUCGAGCUAUUUCUCGAAGAUCGAUCUUAGGUCAGGAUAUCAUCAGCUGAAAGUAAGAGAGCAAGAUAUCGAGAAGACUGCAUUCAGAACUAGAUAUGGACACUACGAGUUCUUGGUUAUGUCGUUUGGACUAACCAAUGCUCCAGCAGCGUUCAUGGAUUUGAUGAAUAGGGUUUGUAAUCCUUUCCUUGAUAAAUCCGUGAUAGUGUUCAUAGACGACAUUCUGAUCUACUCGAAAAGCCAGGAGGAGCAUGGCAGACACUUGCGAGAAGUGUUAGAAGUUUUGAAGAAGGAGAAGCUUUAUGCGAAGUUCUCCAAAUGUGAUUUUUGGAUUCGUGAGGUCCAAUUCUUGGGUCACGUGGUCAACCAAGAAGGGAUAAUGGUUGAUCCAGCGAAGAUCGAAGCUGUGACGAAGUGGGAACAACCGAAAAGUCCCACGGAGAUUCGAAGCUUUUUAGGAUUAGCCGGAUAUUACCGAAGGUUUAUCCAAGGCUUUUCUUCGAUUGCUACUCCAUUAACAGCUUUGACCCACAAAGGAGCUACUUAUGCUUGGAGUGAGAAGCAUAAAGAAGCAUUCGAGAAGUUAAAGAAGAAGCUAUGCGAGGCACCGAUACUUUCUCUACCCGAUGGAGUUGAAGACUUCGCUGUUUAUAGCGAUGCGUCUGGUGUUGGAUUGGGUUGUGUUUUGACCCAAAGAGAAAAGGUGAUAGCAUAUGCGUCUCGACAGCUGAAAGAGCAUGAAAAGAAUUACCCGACUCAUGAUUUGGAGUUGGCAGCGGUAGUUUUCGCUCUGAAAAUAUGGAGGCAUUACCUCUAUGGCACGAAGUGCAAACUUUUCACUGAUCAUAAGAGUCUCCAAUACCUCUUUAAUCAGAAAGAAUUGAAUAUGAGGCAACGACGCUGGCUAGAAUUACUUAAAGACUACGACUGCGAGAUACUUUACCACCCCGGUAAAGCUAAUGUUGUUGCUGAUGCUCUCAGUCGGAAAGUCAAUCUUGAAAGGAAGAGGCCAAGAGCGUUGAGAAUUGAAGUUGUCUCGACUAUUGUGGAAAGUAUAAAGAAAGCUCAAGAGGAAGCUUCUGAGAAAAAUGACCGAAAGGAGGAACGUUUGGGUAAAACGUUGGUGUUUGGUACUAACGGUCAUGGACUGAAGGUAUUCCAAGAUCGUAUUUGGGUACCUAAGUCAGGAGGAAUUAGGGAUCUUCUGAUGGAAGAAGCUCACAAAACCAUGUACUCAAUUCAUCCGGGUAGCACUAAAAUGUAUAGGGACCUGAAACCCUACUACUGGUGGCCGACGAUGAAGCUUGAUGUUGCAAAGUAUGUGGCCGAGUGUGUGACUUGUGCGAGAGUCAAGACACAACAUCAGAAACCUUACGGGAGUUUAGAACCAUUGCCUGUGCCUAUGGGUAAGUGGGAAGACAUUGCUAUGGAUUUUGUCACUAAACUGCCCAGAACAAAGAAUGGUCACGACAUGAUUUGGGUGGUCGUUGAUCGAUUCACUAAGAGUGCGCAUUUCAUAGCGGCCAGGGAGAAAUGGUCUAUGGAAAAGCUUGCGAAUUCUUACGUGAAGGAAAUUGUGAGGCUUCACGGUGUUCCGUUAACGAUUGUAUCGGAUCGUGAUAGCCGUUUCACCUCAAGGUUUUGGAAAAGUCUACAAGAGGAAAUGGGUACCAAGUUAUGUUUAAGCACAGCUUACCAUCCGCAGACUGAUGGUCAGAGUGAAAGAACAAUACAAACACUUGAAGAUAUGCUGAGAGCAUGUACCUUGGAAUUCCUAGGUAAUUGGGAUGAACAUUUACCGUUGGUAGAAUUUUCCUAUAAUAAUAGUUUUCACUCGAGCAUUAAGAUGGCACCUUAUCAAGCUUUGUAUGGACAGAAGUGUCGUACGCCGUCUUGUUGGCUUGAGGCUGGGGAAAAGCAGUUUAUGGGACCGGAGAUGGUUCAUCAAACUGCUGAAAAGUUGAAAAUAAUUAGGGAAAGAAUGUUAGCAGCUCAAGAUCGUCAAAAGAGCUAUGCUGACAAGAAGCGAAGACCGAUGACUUUUGAGGUUGGAGAUUCGGUUUUGCUUAAAGUCUCGCCGUGGAAGGGACUUAUAAGAUUUGGUAAAAGGGGAAAGUUGAGUCCAAGGUUUAUUGGACCGUUUAAAGUCCUUCAGAGGAUUGGGAAUCAAGCUUACAAGCUCGAAUUACCCGAAGAACUGAAUGGAAUUCACAACACCUUUCAUGUGUGUUAUUUGAGGAAGUUCACGGGAGAAGUUCCCGAUAUAAUUCCAAUUUCUGAAUUGAGAAUUGAUGAGAACAAAAGGUUGAUUGAAGAACCAGAGGCAAUUGUUGACCGAAAGACUAAGAAGUUGCGACGCAAAAUGGUUGGGUUAGUGCUUGUCCGAUGGAAACACACGAAUGGGCCGAAUCUCACCUGGGAGACGGAGAGUGACAUGUUGAGUCGCUAUCCGCAUUUGUUUGUUGAUGUGUGAUUCCGGGGACGGAAUCAUUCUAAGGUGGAGAGAAUUGUAACGCCUGUGUUUCCGGGCUUGCCAUUUUUAGCAAUGUAAUAGUCUAGGUUAACCUUUGUAACCCGUUUUGAAAUAAUAAGAUUGUAUUAUUUGAGUAUUAUGUGUUUUGUGCUUAAUUGCUUAAUUAUGUGGUUUGAUUAAUUAAGAAUAAAAAUAAGCGUCAAAAUUUAAGUGUAAAAUAAACUUAAUAUCUUUGGUUAAUGUUGUAGUAGUUGAAACGAGGUUUCCGAAUAUAUAUAGAACGCCCAAAUCUGACUUCGUAUGAGGAAGUUAUGAUUUAUCGAAGUUCCGGCUUAGCGAUAUACAGCCUGUUUUACUCGAUUUGAGAUCGAGCGGUUGUUAGCCGAAGCAAUCUAAAUGAGAAUCGAAGAUCUCAUUGUUGGUAUUGAAACGAUAAAAAGUUAGGCGAGAACGGACGUCAAACGAAGAAGUUAUGAAUUUAUAACGAAAGUUUCUGUCCCGGCCUAUUAAAAAUAAUUAAUAAAAAUAAAGUCAAAAUUAGCCGACGGAGUCUAAACGAAAGUCGUAGAGCGUGGUCUCACCUUCGCGUGGAUAUAAAGAACGUCGAAAACGGAGUUCGUAUGAAGAAGUUAUGAAUUUCCGAAGUUUAUUAAUCAUUUUGUAUUUAUUUUUAAUUCAAAAUUCGGAAGCAUUAUCCGAAGGAGUCACCGAUCUGAUCCGAGGUACGCCCCGCGUACUCGAGUACGCCCCGCGUACUCCGAGGGAUGUCGACACUCGCACUCGAGCACUUCGGAUACGUAAGCAAUGACGUUUUGGGCAGUACGCCCCGCGUAACGCAGUACGCCCCGCGUACUCCGAGGCUCCAGCCUCCUAUAAAUAGGAUGCGAGGGUUCCGGGUAUUUUUGCCAAUUCCCUCUCGUUUUCGUGUCGAAGCUCUGUGCAAAAACCCCCGAAGCUACCCCGAAGUCCCGGUAUCAUACUCUAGCCCCGAGGCAAGUCCCGAGAUCCUGAAGAUCCCGAAAAGUGCGGUUCCCGAGUCGAAGCUCUGCCCGCGAGAAGUUCGAUUUUCGAGAAGAUCUUCCAGAUCUGCUGUGGAUUACUACUUCUAUAAGCCGUAGUGCUGUCCGAUCAUCUUCUGAUCAAGUGAGUGUGUAGUUAUUUCUUCUAAUACAAUAAUACGAAGUAUUUUAUAUAAAAAUACGUGCUAUGUGUAUAUAUUUGGUUGUGUUAUGUGUGAAUGAGUAUUCACUCUCUUCUAUCUUAUAGAUCUGCUUAUUUCUUUAUGAGAUAUGUGUUAUGUGUGUGUGUGCCUCAUCUGUUAUGUGAUAUAUGUGUUGAUUAAAGCAUGCUAUACAGGUUUUCUUUAAACUAUGUAUACAAAUGUAUAUUUUUAUCUACUAAUAUGUUGGGUAGAACAUGGGUAGACAGUUGGUGUGUAAUAAACAGAUGAGAGGCCUCGUUGUUGUUUGAUUGAGUCAUCUAGCGGAGUUUAGAUGACGACCACUGGCUAUUCUAGACAGUCUUGUGGAAACAUUAGCAGGUUCGCCACCUGUAGGUGUUAAUGAACUUGGGUGUUCAUUCGCUGUACUCCAUCCCCCUCAUGGUUGCCUUAUUUGACUUAUAUUGCUGAGGUACCCCCGAAGCAUGUGUUGUCGCCCCGAUGAAAUAUUCUUAGACUAGGUCCCUUAUGUUAGUUGUUUUAGGGACAUUAAAGUGAGAAUAACGGGAAUGGGUAAUUGGGUUAUUGUUGGUUGGUGAAAAUUAAAUAUGAUAUUUAUUGUGGGUUGAAAACCCUAUAUGCUCACCAGGCUCCCAAGCCUGACCCACUCAGUUUUAAAUUGUAUUACAGGUAGUGGCGGAAGGGCAUGAGAUGGAUGAACCAUCAAGUUGUUUUGUUUACAAGUCUGCAUAUGUUUAUAUUUGUUAUAUGACUUGUAAUGUAUUCGUUUAUGCUUAUUGGUCUGUAUCGGAACAUGACACCCCGAGUUUUGAUUAUAAUGAAAAUACAUUUCUUUUAUGAAAUGCUUCGGUAAACAAUGUUUUAUCAUGUUUUGUUUUUGGGAACAAAUUCCGCAACUCUUUCAAAUCAAAAGGAUUUACUCUGAAAAUAUUUAAAAGCAUAAAUGAAAAUCGGUCUUUUCUGGCCGAGAUUUUGGGGAUGUCACAGUUGGUAUCAGAGCAUUAGUUUAAGCGAACUAGGAAUUUGUAGGAUUUCUAGACUUAAACUUAGAAUGCUAAGUGAAGUUUUGAGAUGUGUGUCUGUUGUGAUUUAGACACGAGCACUAGUUUAUUUUAGGAAAGUUGCCUAAAAUGCUUUAUGUGCUAAAUGUUAUAUGUUGCCAUAUAUGAUAUUAUUUGUUCGGAUCUAUGGUCUGUUGCCGACCGGAUCUAGAAACCUUAUGUGUGUAGGAUUCUAAGCGUACGUCUACGAUAUUAGAACUAGCAUGUAAACGUUUCGGAGUGAUAAGGAUGAUUUGAAUAUCUAUCAUGAUUGAGGAUCUAAUUUCACCUUAUUUGGUGUGUAGAUCAAAAUGGUGAGAACAAGAAGUGGAGUUGGAAAUGCUGACGAAAACAGGAAUCAACCACCAGUGAUUGAGCCAAUACCUGUCGUAGCAGCAGCACCUGAGCCAAUAACCAUGGCUGGUGUGCAAUUGAUGAUUCAGACGAUGUUGGAUCGUCAGAUGGAUGAAACUAGACGGUUGCUUCAACAAAAUCGUGAAGAACUGUCGAUUUGUGUGGAAGAGCCUGAAUUAAAUGAAGGGCACUCAGAAGGAGGAAUGAGAUGAUGUUUCUUGCCACAUCUGGCGAAUAGCAACAAUUGUUUAAAUCUAAUCCUAAUCCACUAUUAAGCAUUAAAGAGUAAAUUCCGAUCUUGGUGACAGGUGAUGAUCUUCU
rnacentral:lncRNA from 1 species